GAAAUGCGAUAAGUAAUGUGAAUUGCAGAAUCCAGUGAAUCAUCGAAUCUUUGAACGCACAUUGCGCCCGCCAGUAUUCUGGCGGGCAUGCCUGUUCGAGCGUCAUUACAACCCUCAGGCCCCCGGGCCUGGCGUUGGGGAUCGGCGGAAGCCCCCUGCGGGCACAACGCCGUCCCCCAAAUACAGUGGCGGUCCCGCCGCAGCUUCCAUUGCGUAGUUGCUAACACCUCGCAACUGGAGAGCGGCGCGGCCACGCCGUAAAACACCCAACUUCUGAAUGUUGACCUCGAAUCAGGUAGGAAUACCCGCUGAACUUAAGC
rnacentral:misc_RNA from 1 species